rnacentral:rRNA from 1 species
CUACGGGGUGCUGCAGUGGGGAAUAUUGGACAAUGGGCGAAAGCCUGAUCCAGCCAUGCCGCGUGUGUGAAGAAGGCCUUCGGGUUGUAAAGCACUUUCAGUGGGGAAGAAAGCCUUGGGGCUAAUACCCUCGAGGAAGGACAUCACCCACAGAAGAAGCACCGGCUAACUCCGUGCCAGCAGCCGCGGUAAUACGGAGGGUGCGAGCGUUAAUCGGAAUUACUGGGCGUAAAGCGCGCGUAGGCGGUCUGAUAAGCCGGUUGUGAAAGCCCCGGGCUCAACCUGGGAACGGCAUCCGGAACUGUCAGGCUAGAGUGCAGGAGAGGAAGGUAGAAUUCCCGGUGUAGCGGUGAAAUGCGUAGAGAUCGGGAGGAAUACCAGUGGCGAAGGCGGCCUUCUGGACUGACACUGACGCUGAGGUGCGAAAGCGUGGGUAGCAAACAGGAUUAGAUACCCGAGUAGUC